rnacentral:rRNA from 1 species
CAGGCUUGAACAGCGAGUGACCACUCCCGAAAGGGAGCUUCCGCAAGGACACUCGUAGAGGUGCUGCAUGGCUGUCGUCAGCUCGUGUCGUGAGAUGUUGGGUUAAGUCCCGCAACGAGCGCAACCCUUGUUUGCUGUUGCCAUCACGUUAUGGUGGGCACUCUGCAAAGACUGCCGGUGAUAAACCGGAGGAAGGUGGGGAUGACGUCAAGUCAGCAUGGCCUUUAUGUCUGGGGCUACACACGUGCUACAAUGGCCGGUACAAACCGUCGCGAUACCGCAAGGUGGAGCUAAUCGGAGAAAGCCGGUCUCAGUUCGGAUAGCAGGCUGCAACUCGCCUGCUUGAAGUUGGAAUCGCUAGUAAUCGCGGAUCAGCACGCCGCGGUGAAU